AUUGAACGCUAGCGGGAUGCUUUACACAUGCAAGUCGAACGAGUGGCGGACGGGUGAGUAAUAUAUCGGAACGUGCCCAGUAUCGGGGGAUAACUCCUCGAAAGAGUGGCUAAUACCGCAUACUAUUGUAUCGGCCGAUAUCGGAUUAGCUGGUUGGUGGGGUAAAGGCGCACCAAGGCCACGAACCGUAGCUGGUUUGAGAGGACGACCAGCCACACUGGGACUUGGACACGGCCCGGACUCCUACGGGAGGCAGCAGUGGGGAAUUUUGGACAAUGGGGGCAACCCUGAUCCAGCCAUCCCGCGUGUAUGAGAAGGCCUUCGGGUUGUAAAGUACUUUUGGCAGAGAAGCGGUAUCUGCAGAAUAAGCACCGGCUAACUACGUGCCAGCAGCCGCGGUAAUUC
rnacentral:rRNA from 1 species